ACUCGUCAUAGCCUACUCUCUUUUGAGUUUUGAGUUGAGUAUUUUGUUUGCAAGAAUUCAUUCGAUUCGUCUUUUUCAACGAGUGAUUGCUAUUGAAUCAAAGGAGUCGGACUGCGCUGCUGGCGCCAUAAACAUCUAUACGAGUGACUCUGUCUGAUUCGAUUCACUUAACCAUUCAAAUGAGUCAUUUGUUUGUGAAUCAAACUGAGCACGCUGUUGUAGCAUUACACCCGCUAAGACAAUUCAAUAUGUGCAAUCUGAAUUUAAUAAUAAUAUUUAUUUUGUGGUGACACUGCCGUGUGGGAAGCUCUGGCAGAGAAAAACACUAUAGAUACGUAAGAGAAAGCCAUAAAACAAAUUCUGAGCUGCUGCAUGAACAUUCAUCAAACAUAUAAGGCUGCAAUUUGGAAAAACCUUUCAAGCUAAUGCUGCUGAAAUGGAGGUCAAGGGAGGUGGCUCCAGCAGAUCAAAAGGGUGGACUUCAGGAGGCAGACACACUCUGUUACAGUAAUCAGCAGAUCCAGUCGGUAUCCAGACCAGACGGUGGACCUGCACCAGGAACGACCACAACACAUCCCUGAAUGUAAGCGGAGACCAUGUCAGCUAGAUGACAGAUCCCUGUGAAGACCUCACUGAUGGCCCCAGCACAGAUCCUCAGCAAAGACUACGAGAACCAGACAAGCCCUCUGCACAGACCCUUUUUACCAGCUUCACCUGCUAGCAUGAUAUUACUUCAUGCAGAAGAAGUUGGAUGAAAUAUUCUGAAUGAUAUCAAUCCACAAUCUGAUUUGGGUUGCAGCCUGGAAUAAUCACACCACGUUCAUUCGUUUGGCCAGAGGAGACUGUUUCCUGACUGAGCCGGGUCUUGUUUGGGUUCCUUGUCACUGUUGCCUUUUGUCUUGCUUGGUUGAAGACACCUAAUAUUCAGCAAUAUUAUUGACUUGACUGCACUGACACCAUUUGAUAAGAACUGAACUGAAUUAUGACACAUAAUGUUUUAUAUAU